GACUUGAUCUGUGUGUGGCCGAGCGUCUCUAGCAGAACUCUGGUCCUCAGGUUCGGCAGGGCCUCGGGAGCCAGGGUGCCGCUGUUCAGGGACUGUGGGGGCGGCCAGGCGCGAGGAUCCGGGCUGCUGGGCUGGGGAGAACCUCCAGGAAGCCAGAGAUGAACCAUAUCCUGGGCACAGUCCUCUUGGAUAGUUUCAAGUUGGAAGCCUUUCUUUAUUGAUAGUCAGAUGAAUUCGACCCCCCAAAAGAAACAAAAAGCACCCAGAAAUCUUCAUUCUAGUGACAACCCAGACAUGUGGACUUGGACUUACCUCCUGCAGGUCCUCACUGAUUCCAUGGGACACCCUCUUCAGGCCAACUUGCUCUUUUUUUUCCUAAACAUGACAACUCCAUUUCUGACAUGCAUCUCAGCAUUUUUUUAAUUGUCUCUUAAUAAAAGUAGUCAGUGGUGAUGUUGAGGAACUGGUGGAGGAACACUCAGACAAAUUGUCUACAGAAGAACUUCAGCAACUUCUGGCUGAGCAACAGAGAAUGGCAGCUGAGGAGCUUUCUGAAGAGGAGAGGCAGUAUCAACAAUCAGUGCAGCAAAGUUCUUUUAAAAUAAAGGAAAUCCUGGAAAAAUGGACAGAGCUACAAACAUUUGUAGAGAAGACCCACCAAGACAGAAAAAGCCAAUCGUUGCAUUCACUUGCUUAAUGACAUCAUGUCAUACUAUAGAAUGGUGUUAAAGAAAAGACAGAAACAGACAACUUUAGACCAGCUGUUAUUUCUGAAAAGGUUGAGACCUAGUGAGCCAGAAGCAGGUCCUAGUGGGCUACAGACUCUCCCGAGGAGAGAGGACACCAGAGAGCCAGAUUUCUGAUGUUGUUAUGAAAGGGGCCUUUCCCUCCUUAAUACAUAACCACCUUCCAUUUCAUCCUCCCUUUCUGCAAGCCAAAGAUGUUAUCUUGAAUGAUGGUGUUAUCCUCGAAUGGAAGACCCUAGAGGAUAUUGUAUAUCACAGAAAACCCACUACACUAGUGGGUCUUAAGAAGAAAUUGAAAAUCCAUGUGCAGCAAUCUCAAUAACCAAGGUUACCCGAGCAACAGUUUGCCAUAUUAAUAAAUGUCUGGAAGCUCAUGGCCACCACUUUGAGCACCUCUUGAAAUUGUAGAGGCCAAAGGUAACUUGUAUUAAUGUCAUGGUGUCUUGAUAAAUUUAGUUAAAAUUAAAAUAUUUAUACAUUUUUUCUUUUCCUGAAGUGUGUAUAAAUUUUUUGGCAAACUCUGUGUAAUUGAUAUGAUCAAUGACUUAACUUUCACAUGUCCUAUAAAAAGUUUUAAUUUUUGUUAUUACUGUUGCUUUGUUUAAAUGAGGUAACAUUUUCUGGAAUGACUAAAGAAGCAUUUUCAAGUUCAUCCAGUAGAUGGCAGAAUAACAUUAACCUCUAGAAAACACUGGCUCAGAGACAGAGGAACUAUGUAUUCUAGAAUAUUAGUACAUUUGGUUAUUGAACCAAAUUAUGGUUAGGGAACACAACUUCAGCAGUUCUGUAGUAUAUGCAGAUAUCCUUAAAUACGUCUUUUAACCAUUAUUCAAUCAUUUAAAUAUAUACCAAAUAAUGGGAUACUAUAGGACUCACUAAAAAAAUAAAACAUAAAAAACAGCAGUUAUCACCAAAAGGCCAAAAUGUAAAAAACAUGGACAUAUUUGGAUCACAUUAAAUUGAAUAGUACUGUCCCCAUUAAAAUGUCAUAAAUGGAAGCAGACAGUCUUUAUAGAAAAAAGACUGGUUAAAGCAAGUUAGGAAGAAAUGAUCCAUAUGCAAAAAAUACAAUAAAGGAAAAUGUUAUCAGUCAUUUUUAAAAUCAAAAGUAGAAUUACAGAUUCCCUUUGAAGUAAUCACUGAAUGAAGUUCUGCUGGAAAUGCAUACUGCACAUUCCUAGAAAGUUUUAAGAGCCUAAAAAAGCUUACACUAUUCAGACUUUACUCAGAAUGUAUUGCAGGGUGAUACACAUGGGCAUAUUAAACCUUGCUUUAUUUAUAAUGGUGAAAAUUUGGGGUACUCAAAUACAGUAAGUGAAACAUUAUGGCUUAUUCAUGAAAUGAAAUAUUGUAUAGACACAACACUUCCAAAUAACCUACUACAGAACUCUAAGAUAAAGUUAAAAAAUUGAUGAAAGGAUGCUAGCUUUAUUAGUAGCAUCUACUAGCUACUGAAUGUUUCUCUAUGCAAGUUUUCAUGUUAAUAACAUCUAUGACUCCAAUAUAUAUACAAUUAUGAACGACCUCAACAAACCACACAGAUAGGAAGAUGAAGUAAGUUUAUCCCAAGGUCUUUCAGUAAUUAAGUGGUUGAGCUAUUGAUGGGACAUUGUUUUUUAACUCUUUUAUGGUAUGUUUAUGAACUUUAAAAAUGUUCUGUAGAAAUAUAUUUUGUUAUAAUGAGAACAAAAUAAUUUUAAUUACAAAGCAGAAAAAUUUGAACAUAAUCAAAUACCUAUGCUUUGCAGGUAAACUACGUAAACACUACUGUUAGCCAAGGGGAAAAACACAUCUUCAUUUGCCUGAAUAAAAAUGUUUUUCUUAUUGCAUAUGCAUUGGUAAUUAGGGAAAAAUACCUUACAUAUUAUUUUCUAGUAUCUGCAGAUUAAAAAUUGAGCAAAAUCAUGAUAGUCUGUCUUUGGAAGUUGAAUUUGUCACUUUUUUAUUAUCUAAUUUUAGCUCAGGGUUUGGUAUAUUUGACAAAGGUCUGUACAUAUAUGUGUGUGUGUGUGCUAUAUAUACUACACCACCUAUUGUUAACAGAAGUUCUCUUUGCCAUAUGGAGUCAUGGAUAAUUUAUACUUUUUUACUUUUGUUUUACUCUAUAAUUGACGUAACUAAUUUUUACAUCAGAAAAGCUAACAAAUGUUGCAUUUCAAAAACUUGUUAGAAAACCACAAUUGUCAACAUGC
rnacentral:lncRNA from 1 species